CAUGAGACUCAAUUGGUAGAGCAUGAGGCUUUUAAUCUCAGGGUUGUGAGUUUGAGCCCCACGCUGGGUGAAAGA